rnacentral:rRNA from 1 species
UACGUAGGGGGCAAGCGUUGUCCGGAAUUACUGGGCGUAAAGCGCGUGUAGGCGGCCCUGCAAGUCGGGUGUGAAAUCCCACGGCUCAACCGUGGAAGUGCACUCGAAACUGCAGGGCUAGAGUCCUGGAGAGGAAGGUGGAAUGCUUGGUGUAGAGGUGAAAUUCGUAGAUAUCAAGCGGAACACCGGUGGCGAAGGCGGCCUUCUGGACAGUGACUGACGCUGAGACGCGAAAGCGUGGGGAGCAAACAGG